rnacentral:rRNA from 1 species
ACGGGUGAGUAACGCGUGGGUAACCUACCCUUUUAUCGGGGAUAACUUGCCGAAAGGUGAGCUAAUACCGGAUGUGCUAUGUUGGUCACAUGACCGAGAUAACAAAGGUGGCCUCUAUUUAUAAGCUACCGUAAAAGGAUGGACCCGCGUCUGAUUAGCUAGUUGGUGGGGUAACGGCCUACCAAGGCGACGAUCAGUAGCCGGCCUGAGAGGGUGAACGGCCACACUGGGACUGAGACACGGCCCAGACUCCUACGGGAGGCAGCAGUGGGAAUCUUCCGCAAUG